AUGUUCGAUGUGGUCGACCUUCCCGUGCCGUACAAUUGGAUCCUUGGAUGCCCAGCCCUGGCUAAAUUCAUGGCGGCAUCCCACUAUGCCUACAACACCUUGAAGAUGCCCGGGCCGGUAGGAGUCAUUUCCAUCCCAUCAGAUGAGAAGGACGUAAUCAUUUGCAUGGAUAAGAUGUAUCGGGGUGCAGUCGCGGCAGAGGCAGCGGCAGCGACAGUUCCCGCCAAGGAGAACAGAGGAAAGAAGAAGGAUACCAGGGAUGCUGGCAAGGAAUCUAGGAAGUGUACCUUUUCGGAGUGCGUUGCGCCUGAUGAUGACUUGCCGGCGAGUUCCAACAACAAGAGAUCCAAGGUUGCUGCACCACAAGUGAAGAAGGUCCUGGCACGGCUGGCUGGCGUUGAUGGUACCUUCACUAUCAGCCCCACCCUCGAUGACAAAUAG
rnacentral:rRNA from 1 species